CAAGCCAAGACACUAAUGUUUGUUCAUAUUAGCCCUGAACCGGAUGCUGAUGGAGAAACAAUUCAGUACUGAAUAUUGCUGAUUUUGGACUUGCAAGGUACCAGCCACCAUUACCAGCUGAGCAGGUGAAGGCAUGGACAGAAUUUGACUAUGAAGGAGAGGGUUCACCUAGUGGUCGAGGUAAAGGCCGUGGUGGUAGAGGGAAGGGAAGGACUAGAGGUGUAUCUGGUAUGAUAUCUAAUUGCAUGCCUUCACUUUCAAAAUUGAUUGGUGACUCACUAUGCAUGAGAACCUAGUCCACUGCAUGCUUUUAUUUCAACACAUCACAGAGGCUCCUUCUUUCUCUUGCUAUGAGUUGGCCCUUCUAUUGAGCACUAUUGUUACAACAGACCAUUGAGAUUCUUUUCAGCAAAAAGAUAUUACUGAACAUGGAG